ensembl:lncRNA
UUAAAAUAUCGGCAAUAGUUCUCACCACCUCACAAAAGCAGCCUGUGUACAACUCACGGCCAGUCCAAGGGGACCGAGGCACGGGCAGGAACAGGAUUUAAAGGUUACACAGAAAUCUGGAGGAAAAGAGGCACUGCAAUCACAUGGGUCAGCAAUCCAGCGUGACUUUCAUUUCUCUAGAAACCAUGCCGUACCUAGCAACAGCUGCUACAGGGAGCCGACUCUCCGGAGAGCCCAACAACAGAGCACACGGCUGACUGCAACUCCCAGAAACGACUGAAAGGAAAGGCACGUUUAUUUCAAGGCCAGGCUGGGACGGGAUCUGGGUUUCCAGCAGUGGAGUCAUGGCGGCUUCUGUGGCCGGCCCGACGGGGCGCUGAGCGGCUCGCCGGAGGGCGCCGUCCGGAGAAGGAGCAGAUUCACCCUCUCUGGUCGGCAAUGGUCCUUGUUCCUGAGAUUCCUGUUGCUCCUUGUUCCCGUUCAGCUGGGUCAACAUGUGCCUGUAAAUUUCUCCCAAAAGGGAGAUCACAGCAGCAUCACCAGCCCCAGAAAUGACAAACAACUCAAGUAUGGGAAGGCAGCUGCCAAGUAUUCAACAGGACUCAUGUUGCACCAGAAAAAAAAUACCAGAUAAGAAAAAUAAACCGAGUUGUGAGCAUAUUUCCCUAAAUAUGUCUCCAUGUUGUGGUUCCUUCCCGUCUUCGGUGUAACGAAUACACCAAUUUGUCAGGGGUCAUGGAGCGGCAGUCCUACGAAGCCUGCCUCGUGUCGGUGAACUCAGUCUCCUGGUCCUCUCCCUUCUCAGGGCAGAGAGCGAUGCAAAGACUUCAGCACACAGAGCCACUGACGUUAAUUUUCCUGCCAGCCUACUGGCUAAGG